rnacentral:piRNA from 1 species
GUGUACUGUGUGGGUCAAGAGCCG